rnacentral:lncRNA from 1 species
GCAUCCCUUUUCUUCACGAUCAGUAGAUAUAUCUCCGUGGCACUCCUCUGAGUCCACCUCCAUCCUAACUGAUGCUUGAUUUUGGGUAGCUAAGUCCCUCUGGACUUGUCGUCGCUUCCUCGCCCCUUUCGACCCCCUGCUUCAACACCUCUGUGUUCUCCAAGCAGUCUGUUUGGUCGAUGGAAAGACAGACUGCAACUCCAAUGCGUGGCCUCUGCCAUCACGUUGUAGAAUUUGCACCGAUUCUGUUCUCCUUAGCUUCCUUGGUAGCAACGUUCGCUUACUCGACCUUGUCCUCUGACUUGUCGGGCUCCCUUAAGCGAAUAUGAGCUCUGGAGCAGUCCAACUCUCCAGCUGCUUCAAUCAUACCUCUGCAUGAUCAAGUCCCUCCCAUGGAACUCACUGGUACUUGCAUUCGAACUUUUCCCUUGGUGGAACACAGCCCCCAUAUGCUGAUGACCAAGGCUUUCAUCCGAUGCAAAAUUUGAUGCACGCACGGAAGACCCGCCUCUGCGGUACCAUGGCCUUCACUCCUUGAAUCCAUAGCCCUUCUUGCCGUCAUGUUGUUCACCGAAGUGGAGCUCCCAGUAGCUCCCGAUCAUACCUCCAUAUGAUCUCGUCCCUCACGGGUCUAGGUCGUGUGUAUCGCAUUGCCACGAACUGUUCCACCACGAUCCACUGCACCAUGUCGCCUCCUGGUGACAUCUCCAUUGCAUUCUGAUCCUUGUGGAAUAAACUCGAAUUGUGAACCCUCCAUGUGUGGCCUCUACCAAUACAUCGCAGGGUCUCUUCCACCUUCGAUUUUGUUCGCUCCUUUGGCAAUCGACCUUCAUCCACCCACUCUUGGGUCACACCUAGAUGAAGCCCCGCUCUAGGACAGUCCGUCGCCUAGUAGCUCCCGAAGUCCCCCGACUUCGCUGCAAUUGGUGCACC